rnacentral:rRNA from 1 species
GAUGAACUCUGGCGGCGUGCCUAAUACAUGCAAGUCGAGCGAACAGACGAGGAGCUUGCUCCUCUGACGUUAGCGGCGGACGGGUGAGUAACACGUGGAUAACCUACCUAUAAGACUGGGAUAACUUCGGGAAACCGGAGCUAAUACCGGAUAAUAUAUUGAACCGCAUGGUUCAAUAGUGAAAGACGGUUUUGCUGUCACUUAUAGAUGGAUCCGCGCCGCAUUAGCUAGUUGGUUAGGUAACGGCUUACCAAGGCAACGAUGCGUAGCCGACCUGAGAGGGUGAUCGGCCACACUGGAACUGAGACACGGCCCAGACUCCUACGGGAGGCAGCAGUAGGGAAUCUUCCACAAUGGGCGAAAGCCUGACGGAGCAACGCUGCGUGAGUGAUGAAGGUCUUCGGAUCGUAAAACUCUGUUAUUAGGGAAGAACAAAUGUGUAAGUAACUAUGCACGUCUUGACGGUACCUAAUCAGAAAGCCACGGCUAACUACGUG